UUCAAGGGACCACCACCUCAUUUCCUUCAUCACUAUCACCGCCAUUAUACCUCUAUCAUCAUCUUUUUCACAACAACAACAACAACAGCGAUAAAAACAAAGAGAAAAAACGAAAAAGACAGUAACAGAUCCACAUAAGAAGGAAAUGCUAUGGAGUUGAGAAGGGAGAAAUUUGUAGUUGUAGUGUAAUUUCAAACAGCAGAGGAGACACCACAGUUUCAAAAAUAGCACUCCCGUAAGUCACUGUCACCUCUUUCAACUUUUUCUCUGUCACUUUCGUGGCCCAAUUCAUCCAUGUUCUUCACCGCCGUGAAUUUUCUGUUUUUAUUUUCUUCUCCUUCCCAUAACUCAAUCAAUACAGAAUCUGUAAUCUCAUAACUGUAAUUUCCUAUUUUCUUAUUUUCUUCAUUCAAUGACGCCUCCUUUUAUGUGUUUGUGCUUAUCUUCUCGUUUUAAGUUGCAUGUUGAUUCUAAAGGAAUCCUUUUUUUUAGGGUUUCUAUUUUAAGUGAGCUUUGAAACAUGAGAUACGGUAAGAGAUGAUUGUCAGCGGUGUUACACAGAAGAUUCAUUUUGGAGUUGACGUACUUUGGCGGCGGCGACGAACUCAUAAAUGGAAGGAGAGAAAGAAGAUGAGGUUAGUGGCGGCGACGGUGGUAAGGUGGUAAGAUGAUACGGAUGAUGUGAUAAGGG
rnacentral:lncRNA from 1 species